ensembl:lncRNA
GAAACAGCAGAGCCACAUUCAAAGAGCAGGUACAUCACUCUGAGAAGCCCUUAGAAUGGAGACCCCUCCAGUGAAGGUAAUAGGGAGAGAAUAAAGAAUAAAAUGUCACCUGGAAGCAAAGAGAGGGCAAAAAUGUGAAGACUCUGCCAUUCAUAACACCUUAAGUCCAAUUUCACGCUAGCCCUAAAGGGAGGAUAGGAAACAGGAAAAGGAAGAUCGAGGAACAAGAAGUGGUCAGAAAUGAGUCUGGUUGCAGAGGAUCUGGUGGAGGACUCCAUGACCCCAGAAGACGCUGGAGCCGUUAGAUGAGAGAAGCCUUGAUCUGUGAAAGACUGCAUGGGUCAACCUCCAUUGGACUGUGAUAUGACCUCCAUUACACACAUACAUUUAUUGUAGUGGAAUGAAGAUCGGAGGAGCAAUAUUUGAAGUUUUGUCAAAUACUGUAGGGAGAGAAAUGAGCUCCUUUGUCCCCUGAGUGAUUGACUGGACUGUCCUGCGGAAGCGGCUGAGCAAGCUGAUGUCCAACCACGGUGGAAGAAUAUCUUGGCUCCCGACACAAAGAAGAAGAUGCAGAUCUGUGUGGUUGGAAUAACUAGGAUUGAAUUCUGAGGUGACGCUUGAUAAAAUGCUUAGCACAUAGUUAACCCUCGAUAAAUAUUAGCUUAUUGUUAACUCCUCUUAAUGACUGUUGGCUUUCCAGAGCCUAACUAUGAGAAAGAUUGUAAAGCUACUUCUAAACUCAGAGGGAAAAAAAAUGCCAUGAUCAAUUAGCCAUGUCACUUUGAGUGCGAGAUAGGGAAAUGGAACUUCUUGUCCUGGAUCUGGAAUCUAUUGCCUUAACCUUAAGCAAGCUUGAAAUAACUUACUGAGUUAGUGAAACUCACAAAGAGAUUGAACAGAAGUGAACUUUGGAUGAAGUUUAAUGUCGGUAGAGUGUCCAAAUGUUAUUUACUAUCAACAGCUGCACUAUGCAAUACAGGAGCCUCUAGCUACAUGUGGCAAUUUAAGUUUAAAUGAAUUAAACUUAAGUGAAAUUUAAAAUACAGUUCCUCACACUUCAAGGGCUCAAUAGUCACGUGUGCAUGUUGGUUACCAUGUCAGACAGCAUAGACCUGGAACACUCUCAUCCUCUCAGAAAGUUCCACUGGACAGAGCUGCUCUCUAGGAUGCCUGAGGAAAUUAUGCUAAUGCAUAAACUACAUAAACCUAUAUGUAGCCCACAGUACUACAAAUUUGUUUGGUUAGUGUGCUCACUUUUUUAAUCCUUGAGGAACAACAUGUUGAGUGGUCCCUGUGCUGGUCAGUUGAUAUUCAAAGCAGACUGGUUUUACUUACUAGGGGAUAGAACACAGAAGAAUGAAAAUCAAAAGAUUAAAUCUCUUAUCUUCUUGUAAGCAAUAAAAAGUAGUCAUCUUAGGGUUUUUGAGGCUAAGUAGGUGUUUAGAGUUUGAGGGCUAGUCACAGCCACAUGAGCAACGUCUAUUAAAUAAUAAUACCACUUUAGGGCUGGCCCCGUGGCCGAGUGGUUAAGUUCGCGCGUUCCGCUACAGGCGGCCCAGUGCUUCGUUGGUUCGAAUCCUGGGCGCGGACAUGGCACUGCUCAUCAGACCACGCUGAGGCAGCGUCCCACAUGCCACAACUAGAAGAACCCACAACGAAGAAUAUACAACUACGUACUGGGGGGCUUUGGGGAGAAAAUGGAAAAAAUAAAAAAUCUUUAAAAAAAAAAUAAUAAUAAUAAUAAUACCACUUUAAUAAGUCAUCCAAAACGUUCUACAAUCAGAUAAUCGUACUGUGGAGGGAUUUUUCUAAAGAUUGAAUAUUCUCUCAUUUACUUCAAGGUGAACUAACUGGAACCAUUAACCACCCUUUCUGUCUAUAAGGCGUAUGUAAAUGAAUGAAGCUGAUAAUUAUUUGUUGAUAUAUGUGCCUAACUAUAUAAAAAUACUGAGAAUUUUUAAAAAAUAAACUGUAACUAUAUGUCUUG